rnacentral:lncRNA from 1 species
CCACUUUCUGCUGAGCUUCAGGACUCUUCCAUUUUGCUGAAGGAGUAUCAGGAGAAGUGGCUUUUAGUGGAGAUUAAGGACUGGACCAAGUUAAUCCAUUUCUGCAAAAUGCCCAAGGAGCCAGCAUGACUUGGAAAUGAAGGACAAAAGGGACCCUCUGAAGAUUCAAAGACCUCUCAGGACAGUUGAUGCCAAGAAAUGGUGUCCUCUCAACUUCAAGUGUGAAAUGCUCGGAAGAGGAUGAGGAGGGCAAAGGUUCUGAAGCUGUAAGCCUUUUCAAGUGAUGUCUCUAAGAGAUUCUUUUGAUAUGAG